CUUUCGGGCCCGCGAUGGAUCAUUCAAGUUUCUGACCUAUCAGCUUUCGACGGUAGGGUAUUGGCCUACCGUGGCAGUGACGGGUAACGGGGAAUUAGGGUUCGAUUCCGGAGAGGGAGCCUGAGAAACGGCUACCACAUCUAAGGAAGGCAGCAGGCGCGCAAAUUACCCAAUGAAAACAGUUUCGAGGUAGUGACGAGAAAUAACAAUACAGGGCAUUUUAUGCUUUGUAAUUGGAAUGAUGGGAAUGUAAAACCCUUCCAGAGUAACAAUUGGAGGGCAAGUCUGGUGCCAGCAGCCGCGGUAAUUCCAGCUCCAAUAGUGUAUAUUAGAGUUGUUGCAGUUAAAAAGCUCGUAGUUGGAUUUCUGUCGUGGUCAGCCUGCGCUGCCCGUAUGGGUGUGCGCGUGGUUUGCCCUCGGCAUAUUUCUGGUAGCCUCUGGCGCUUUAUUGCGUUGGUAGGUGUUCUGGAACUUUUACUUUGAGAAAAAUAGAGUGUUUNUUGUCGCCCUGAAUACUGCAGCAUGGAAUAAUAAGAUAGGACCUCGGUUCUAUUUUGUUGGUUUCUAGGACCAAGGUAAUGAUUAAUAGGGACAGUUGGGGGCAUUCGUAUUUAACUGUCAGAGGUGAAAUUCUUAGAUUUGUUAAAGACGAACUACUGCGAAAGCAUUUGCCAAGGAUGUUUUCAUUAAUCAAGAACGACAGUAGGGGGUUUGAAGACGAUUAGAUACCGUCGUAAUCUCUANUGCCAAGGAUGUUUUCAUUAAUCAAGAACGACAGUAGGGGGUUUGAAGACGAUUAGAUACCGUCGUAAUCUCUACCAUAAACUAUGCCGACUAGAGAUAGGGAAAUGCCUACCUUGGCUUCUCCUGCACCUCAUGAGAAAUCAAAGUCUCUGGGUUCUGGGGGGAGUAUGGUCGCAAGGCUGAAACUUAAAGGAAUUGACGGAGGGGCACCACCAGGCGUGGAGCCUGCGGCUNCUCAACACGGGGAAACUCACCAGGUCCAGACAUGGGAAGGAUUGACAGAUUGAUAGCUCUUUCUUGAUUCUAUGGGUGGUGGUGCAUGGCCGUUCUUAGUUGGUGGAGUGAUCUGUCUGGUUAAUUUCGAUAACGAACGAGACCUUGGCCUGCUAAAUAGGGUCAGUAACUUCGGUUACUGUAUCACUUCUUAGAGGGACUUUGCGUGUCUAACGCAAGGAAGUUCGAGGCAAUAACAGGUCUGUGAUGCCCUUAGAUGUUCUGGGCUGCACGCGCGCUACACUGAUGCAUGCAACGAGUUUUUACCUUGCCCGAUGGGGCUGGGUAAUCUUGUGAGGGUGCAUCGUGAUGGGGAUAGAUUAUUGCAAUUAUUAGUCUUCAACGAGGAAUGCCUAGUAGGCGCAAGUCAGCAGCUUGCGCCGACUACGUCCCUGCCCCUUGUACACACCGCCCGUCGCUGCAACCGAUCGGAGGGNUCCGUAGGUGAACCUGCGGAAGGAUCAUUCACACAUUGAUUGUGCGUCUCCAAGCGAUUUCAUCAUUGGCG
rnacentral:rRNA from 1 species